rnacentral:rRNA from 1 species
CGGGGGGGCGAAGCGUUGUUCGGAAUUACUGGGCGGUAAAGGGCUCGUAGGCGGCCCACUAAGUCAGAUGUGAAAUCCCCAGGCUCAACCUGGGAACUGCAUCUGAUACUGGUGGGCUUGAAUUCGGGAGAGGGAUGCAGAAUUCCAGGUGUAGCGGUGAAAUGCGUAGAUAUCUGGAGGAAUACCGGUGGCGAAGGCGGCAUCCUGGACCGACAUUGACGCUGAGGAGCGAAAGCUAGGGGAGCAAACGGGAUUAGAUACCCCGGUAGUCCUAGCCCUAAACGAUGAAUGCUUGGUGUAACGGGUAUCGAUCCCUGUUGUGCCGAAGCUAACGCAUUAAGCAUUCCGCCUGGGGAGUACGGUCGCAAGGCCUG